CCUUUCAAGCCGGAUUUUUUAUUUACUAGCUUAGCUAUCCUAGUAUAAUAAAGAGAAGGGGUAGACUGACUUAUUUUAUUGACAUAAGCUCCGGAAAGGAAGGAGGACAAGCGAAGUACUAUCGUAAAUAUAAAAAAAAUAGCUAGAAAAGCUCCUUAUCCUUAUAGGCUAAGUAGUUCCGUGAAAGCCUGCAGAGUAAAAGGCCUCUAGUGCUUAUAGGGACUCAGUUCAACAAAAGGACCCCUUCUU
rnacentral:lncRNA from 1 species